GAGCAGGGCUGCCAGAGAUGCCAAAGGAACAGGGCAAAGUGGGAUGGCAUCAUAGGAGGACUUGGUAAAACCUCAUCUCCUUCCACAGACAGGGAAGAACACUGUUGAUCAAGAUCCCUUCUCAAAUGUCUUUCCGAAAACAGUUUAAAGGUUUGUACGUUUUUACCAACUUUCUGUCCUUACAGUCUUUAAUCUCCCAUGAAAACCCCAGCACACCUGUGCCUCCCAUAACAGUGGCUCUUUCCCAGCAGGUACAUUUAGAGAAAGGAAUCUGUCAGCCCACUAAUAACAGUCCUGUCAAGGAAGGGAGGCGAUGCUGCCAGCGCAACAGGAGACACUAUCUCUGGAAAAUUACAGGAGUGCCUCAGUGUGCACGCUGGGCACGAAACCCUUCAGCAGAAGACUUCAUUCACAGCUUCCUAGAUGUGGCCGUAGGACCACAUGGUCGUCGGUGGGAUUAUUGUGGGACGUGGUGGAUUCCACUCCCUGGUCUGGGGCGGAAGGCGACCACUACGCACUCCUCUCCUCUCCUCACCUUCCCACCAGCUGGGACACAGGUGGGCCUGCCACCAGCGUGGAUCUCACAGACGAGGACAACGUGACCCCACGGAAGGAAUCUGUGAUCCUGAGUGCCCACAUGGAGCAAAGCUAACCCGAAGUAAGAGAAAAAUGAAUUUCUGUUCACUUCAGCCAUUAUGUUUCUGAGCCUUUUUGUAACUGUAGCUUAGCUUUCACUC